rnacentral:lncRNA from 1 species
UACACUGCAGCCUCGAGGGCGUAUCCCAAAAGGAUAAUGGAAGAUCCGUGAAACACAUCACAGACCGCACCAUAUCUAAUAAGAUGCAAUUCCUCCUUUCCACAUUUCAUUUAAUUAUGGAGUAUAAGGAAGUGUCCAUUGAGAGAGUAUACCAUUUUAUUUCAAAUAAUCGAGGAACUCACUAGACAAAUAUUCUCCUUCUCGAU